UACGUAGGGUCCGCGCGUUGUCCGGAGUUACUGGGCGUAAAGCGCGCGCAGGCGGCGGUGCUGGCCCGGCGUGAAAGCCCCCGGCUCAACCGGGGAGGGUCGUCGGGGACCGCACCGCUUGAGGGCGGUAGGGGCUGGUGGAAUGCCUGGUGUAGUGGUGAAAUGCGUAGAGAUCAGGCGGAACACCCGUGGCGAAGGCGGCCAGCUGGGCCGUCCCUGACGCUGAGGCGCGAAGGCGUGGGGAGCGAACGGG
rnacentral:rRNA from 1 species